CAUGCUUUUUGAAGCUCUUCAUUAUCUUCUUUGUUAAAGUUUUAUAUAAAAGGAUCAUAUAAAGACAAAUUUUCAUACUGGGAUUAAUUUUCUGCAUCAAACACAUGGAGCUCUUACGACGUUCUUUGCUUCUUCUCUUGGCUGUGGCAACAGCUGCGCUUACCAUUAUCGAGGCUGUGCCUGUGCCUCAGCCAACUCAAGCACCCAUACUUGAAGUACCACCAGUAGCUGGGAUGUAGAAAACAUAUUAAAAUUAAUUCUGAUGCUUGUAAGGAUUUGGGUGUUCAUUUCUUUUACUGCGAAAAACAUCUACUGUCUACUUAAUCUUGCCUACUCUACUGCCUGCUUAUUCUACCGGUUUCUACUUUGUGUAAUGUCAGAAUAUGAUUUUCUGCAUCAAUAUAAAAUGCUUCAGCUGAAGCCGAAGAUUAUUGAAAGCUGAGAAAAAUCAGUUGUAAAAUAUUUUCUUUAUAACUAAAAUAUCUCUUUGAAUAAAGUCAAUUAAAAUUUAUAGAUUUUUUUCAAAUUUACAGGAAUUUUAAAAAUAUGUUAUAAUAAAAUAUUCUGUGAUGUACAAAAAAUUUAUAUUUUGUUUUAUUAUUCUUGAUAUAAUUGCAAUUAAGGAUUAUUUAACUUAACUGAUGUAAACUUCUCUGUGUCAAGCUGAACAAACAUUUAAUUAAAAAAAAACAAAAAAA